rnacentral:lncRNA from 1 species
ACUAACCUUCCUGGACUUGUUCCUCCACUACCAGAUGUUGGGAGGCAUAAAAAUCGGAGCAGGGGAAAAGUUGUAAGAGGUUCAAACCCAAAGAUAAAAUGGAGGAAACUUCAUAUCUGUGAAACAAACCAACAUGAAGUCACCAGAUAUCCUGACAUCCAACUCAAUUGCCCAGGCUUUGAUGCACAAGAAUCGGCCUCUCAACAUGUGGGAGUCUUGGUAACUCUCGAAAUUUAUUUUAGAAAAGGAUGAGCAAUGAUCAUGGGCAGAUAUUGAUUCCCACAGGUCAUUGCUUUCCUUUUAGAAAAUUUUGCCCAUCUCCCACGAGUUUCAACCCUUGUUUCCCUUCCCCCUUUUUUUUAAUUGAAACUUUCCUCGUAGAAGACUCCAAAAAUCUCUUUUUAUUCUGCCAACCUACGGUUUCCCCUCGAGUCUCCAUUGGAUUCGAUUUCUUCAGCCGCGUUGAACCACUUGAUUCUCUAUUUUCCCUGUUGUUCCUUGGCCGAGAAUCUCCAGAAUAUGCGUCCCUUGUUCACUUCCCAAUUUCGCAAAAAUUAACGCCUCAAAUCUCACCUUCCUUUGCUCGAUGGGAAUUGGUUGAACUUUAUUGCCCUUUGUUCAUGUUGCGAAGAGGAAGCUGAAUCCUAAAAGCCACGUCCCCAGAUCUGGGCAAGGCUGGCCGUGACCCUCACCCAAACGGUGAUCGCGGAAAGAGAAAAUAGGAAAAGAGGAAAAAGAAAAUAAAAAAUAAAAAAUUCGAAAAAUAUUAAAAUAUUUUAAAAAUUGUUCACAUGAGUGCUGGUCGAGUCGCAUAGAAUGGAUAAUGUCCAAGUCAGCAAACUCUGGCCAUAAUUGGCCGAAUAUGAAAAUGUUUAGAAUUUAAUUGAUAAAAUUGAAAGGUUUAUGAUUAAAUUGACAAUAAUUCAAUAGGUUUAUAACUUUUUUGACAAUNNNNNNNNNNNNNNNNNNNNNNNNNNNNNNNNNNNNNNNNNNNNNNNNNNNNNNNNNNNNNNNNNNNNNNNNNNNNNNNNNNNNNNNNNNNNNNNNNNNNNNNNNNNNNNNNNNNNNNNNNNNNNNNNNNNNNNNNNNNNNNNNNNNNNNNNNNNNNNNNNNNNNNNNNNNNNNNNNNNNNNNNNNNNNNNNNNNNNNNNNNNNNNNNNNNNNNNNNNNNNNNNNNNNNNNNNNNNNNNNNNNNNNNNNNNNNNNNNNNNNNNNNNNNNNNNNNNNNNNNNNNNNNNNNNNNNNNNNNNNNNNNNNNNNNNNNNNNNNNNNNNNNNNNNNNNNNNNNNNNNNNNNNNNNNNNNNNNNNNNNNNNNNNNNNNNNNNNNNNNNNNNNNNNNNNNNNNNNNNNNNNNNNNNNNNNNNNNNNNNNNNNNNNNNNNNNNNNNNNNNNNNNNNNNNNNNNNNNNNNNNNNNNNNNNNNNNNNNNNNNNNNNNNNNNNNNNNNNNNNNNNNNNNNNNNNNNNNNNNNNNNNNNNNNNNNNNNNNNNNNNNNNNNNNNNNNNNNNNNNNNNNNNNNNNNNNNNNNNNNNNNNNNNNNNNNNNNNNNNNNNNNUUAUGCCAAUAAUUUCUCUGUACUAUUCAAAUUAAUUACAAAAAAAACCAAUGUAUAUCCCAUGAAUAAUAUUUGUCUGGAGUAUAUUACUAACAGAGUCUCAAAGUGAGGAGGGGCUGUGGCAAUGAGCUAUCAAAAAAAAAUAAAAAAUAGUCUCGCAUUCUCAAUAGAAAAAGAAAAAGUAAAAAAAGGACAGUCUCGCAUCAUCUACUUUUCGAGAAUUAAUUUCGUUUCUUCUAGUGAGACUCAUUCCUUCUUUUCCCUCUAUAUUAAACAUGGCUGCAGACCACCGGGGACCUCCUUGAAAAGAAAACAUGUUGGUUGUUCCAGAUGCCAUCAAGCCAAGAACUUCGUGUUUCUCAUGAUCGUUAUAUAUAUGUAAUAUGUCAUAAUACUCUUGGUAUGUUCAAGAUGUAGUAGAAUUACUUCAAUUCCCUAUAUUCCGCAAAUCAUAUUCCAUACAUUCUCAUCUGUAGACUUGUCUUGACAAUAGUAAAAUAAAAAGAGAUAAAUUUCACAGUUUAAUAUUGAAUAAUGUUCACCCGAGUAGAGACAACUCAACACUGUCUUGCACAUUAGGAAGUGGGGCAAUUUCAUUGGUCCACUCAAGGAGCCUCCUAUCUCGAUACCUAUCUGGUGGCAUAAUUGUUCAAAAUUUUUUAAAUAUAUUGUAUGAUGAUCAAUUCAUUUAUACUUUUUGUUGUCAAUUAAGUUCUAAACUUUAUGACAAUUUGCCUAUAUAGACUUCUGUCAAUUUUGCCCAUAAAAUGCUAACAUGGUGGUCAAGUCAAAGUCGCUAUUUUUCGUAGUACGAUUGACGAUGACAUGGAUGCUUUUUGAAAAAAAUUAUAUUUUUUUUCCUUUUUCUUUACUUUUAUUUUUUUUUCAUUCAUUGUAUUAUUGGUAGGAAAAACAAUAUAUAUUUUUUCCCAAAAUUUGUCCACGCCAGUGCCGGCCAUACCACAUUAGAUGGUUACGGUAACUGAAUUGCCAUUUCAAUGAUUUUAGGCAAAAAUUGACCAAAAGUGGUACUUUGGUCUUGGAUUAAAUUGGCAAAAUUAAAAAAAAAAAAAUCAAGAUUGUACUGACUACCAUAUGAUAGGUUUACGACUUGCUCGGAAAUUUUCCAUUAUUCGGUUGUGACAAGCGGGCUGCCUAGUGUAAUAAGAAUGGCCUGACGCUCUAAGAGAUCCAUAUACUCAAAGAAAAAAAAAAAUGAAAAAGAAAGGAGUGCAUGAACAAGACUGUGAAGCUAAAACAAUGCUAAUAGGUGCAACUGUGAUAAGGGUUACAUUGCAGUUGUUGGGGGCAAACCAUGAAUUUUAGCUUGAAAAAGACCUAUUGACAAGUCGUAAUUGCCCCAUGGUCCAUGAAUGACGGCUACUCUAGAAAUUAAGCACUACCCGAGUCCAUUCUAAGAAAAUUUAGGGAUACUUUACUCAUCUUUUUGUAUGCUGAGCUUCGGUAUAUGCCUACUAUAUUUUGUCCUUGAUAAGCAAAUGUACAUAAUAUAUAUGAGGUGAAAGACAAUUCUAUGAGAAAUUAUACAAUAGUCUAGAUGUAAUAUCAUUUGGAUGUACAAUGCCAAGAAGAGAAUUCCUAUCGAGCAAUAUAGGUGUUGACAAAGAAAGGAUUUUUUGCUCUGGACUUUUCCACCUAUCAGCUCGUCCUAUUGGCCUCAUCAUUAGCACGUAUAUCUCUUGGGUCACUGGGAGGGAUGACCUAAAUCUGUGCUAUCCGCUUGGCUUACCAACUAGAGAAGGUGAUCGGCAUUUUAUGGCAAUACAAAAUCCGAAGCACAUUUAUUUCCUUAUUCGGUCUCGCAACCCCAGCCCUGGCGGUCCCUUAAUAAUAAAAAAAGAAUAAAAUAAAAUAAUUAAUAAAAAAUUAGAAAAAAAAUCAGUAUCGGUCGUGCCAUAUAGGAUGAUAAAUAUUCAGGUUGGCAAAAUAGGUUACACUGAAAAAUUAUCAAAAUGUUUACGAUUAUAUUGACCAAAUUGAGAAGUUUAAAAUUAAAUGAGUAAGUUCAUAGCUUCUUUAGUAAAAGGAAGGAGAGAUCAAGAAUCAAAGUCAGAAAUAUAUUUUGGUUGAGAACCGCGAAGGAUUCGGAACAACGAGCAAGAAUGAAAUCACCGCCUUGUCUUUCCCUCCCUCCCUCUCUAGACUUUGAGCAAGUUGUUCGUUUCUAGUUGCAGAGUUCAGAAGAUGCUCGGUUGCUCCUGCUGCCGAAUUUCGAACUCUGUCAUCGUCUACUCAUGCCUGAGAAAUGCAAGGGUCGGUUUGGUCAGGCCGAUUUCGAUUUUCAAGUUCUUGAUGGCUCCUGAAUUUUGUCAACAUUUUGGACACUUUCCGUUAGCGGCUUUUCGUCACCCGCACCCAAAGGCUAGAGAGAGAAAAAAGAGAAUAUAUUUUGGAGAGAGAGAGUGAUGAAAGGAAAAACCCUCAUUGAAAAAAUACAUAAAAUCCUUUAAUUCUUUAGAUGCGUUUGCUUCAUGAAAUAUCGCCAAUUUGAAAUACUUCUAAAUAUACUCACUUCUAUUACUUGUAACAAUGAAUUAAUGAGAGAAACAUUUUAUCAUCAAUAACAUGUUUAGGCAAAGAUUAUUAUUGAUGAGAAAAUAUAUUCCAUUAACUAAUUUUUUCUAAUCAAUACAAAUAACUAUAUUUAGAAAAAUGUUUGUGAAUCAUUGAUUUUUCUCCAUGAAAAAUCAAUAAUAACUUUUGAAACUCAACCUCUUUCAUUUUUACUACUAAUAUCGCUGUUAGCUUCGUUAUCACAUUUUGGCCAUCAAAGACCUUUACUCUUAUAACUAAUAUUAAAGGAUUUUAGUCACUAAUGAGGACAAUUAGAGAAUAUUGCUAGAUUAAUAAGGCAUUAUGUAGUUUAGCAUCCAUAAAAAUUUAUCUAAUAGCCAUCUUCACGAUCGAUUCAAUAAGUUACUCUAGUUUCUAUUUUUCAAAGUAUUAAAAAGCACAAGUAAAAUUCACCAUGUAAUUGCAGAAUACUAUUUUAAUAUCACGUAAUAAUCAUUUAUGAUUAGAAAAUAUUUCAGUAUGAUAAAUGGAAUAUUGUACAGUAUAUAGUAUUGCUAUAUCAUAAUUAAUGCUAAUAAAAUAUUAUGAAAAAUUUAGCAUUGUUAUAUUCUAAUAAAUUUUUUUAUGAAUAAUUAAAAUUAACAAGACGUUGUAUUAUCGACAUUUAGUAACCUAAUAAUUGAUAUCAUAUUAUAUGAAUAGAAGGACAAAAAUGAAAUGGACAUUGCAUAGGUCUUCCUAAUGAAUCCCCGUUCCUUUAAAAGUUGGAACGAGCAUCCCCAUAUUUAGUAAAUACACUUAAUAAAGUCAAACGAUGAGACGUUAAAAAAGUUCAGAACCCGGUUAAUUAAUUUCCUUAUGGAAAAAGAAAAAUACCUUUUCGAUUACUAAGUAAACUUUCAUAAAAAAAAAAAAAAAAAAGAGCAUCCUCCCAUCUUCCUCUGUUUUUGCUGCGCUUUCGUCUUCCUCGGAGACUCUGUUCCUAGAGAGAGAAAGUAGAGAGAGAGGGAGAGAGGGAGAUGAGCAGGAACAGCAGCAGCAGGCUGAACUCGGUGUUCUACGCGGAGUCGUACCACCCGAUCCAGGCGGGCAGCAUCGACGGCACCGACGUCCUCCCCCACGACAACGCCGUCUCCCGCGCCCACCUCUGCUCCUCCGCCGGCCUCUGUAAAAUCCCCCCUCCCUCUUCUCUUUCCCGUUUUCCUUGCUUACUUCCUGGGUUUCUGACUCCGUUUUCGAUUCCCCCCCAGACGACCCCUUUGGCGAUCCCAAGGCCGUGGGCGACCCGUACUGCACCCACUUCGUCGGGCGCCUCUCCCACUUCACCUCCGAGGACACUCUCCUCAAGGUCUGGCCUUUGUCUUGAUUUUGAGGUUUUCUUUCACUCCCAUUUCUCUCUUCUCUCUCUUUUUGAGGAAGAGUUUUUUCUUUUUUUGUGGGUGUUUUAGUUGUGGAGUUCGUUUGAGGUGACAAUGGCUGCCUGCCUGCUUUGGGGAAGUACUUGGGAGAUAACUAAAUGAUGCAACUUUGGCGUCGUUCUCGUGAUUUAUGAGGGGAGUGUUGGGAGAUGGAACUUUGUUUUGUUUUCGAGGAUGGGAAUGGAAAUGCUUGCCGAAAUAUGGCAGUUUUGGUGUUUAAAAAACGUAUUUUUGGCGGUUCCGACUGCUAGAUGGAGCAUUUUGCCUUCAAUUACCGCUUUUUCUAACAGUCUUUCGAUUGAUUUAGGCUUUUUUGACCGACAGUAUGAGUUCCCUUGUGCAGGCUAUGAGCAAGUAUGGUCAUGUGAAAAACUUGCGCUUGGUCAGGCACAUUGGUAACCAUCUUAUUAGCUCUUGUAAUUUCUAUGAUUUUCAGUUCAUCGAGAGAUCAUGAUAAGUGCUUCGAGUUGAUAGUAAUUCAAACUUCACUUAAUAUGAAAGAAAUCUUGGUAGCUUGCACUUUACUCACUGUUUUGACAGAGCAGCAAUGCUCGAUCUCUAACUUAUUAUAUGCUUAGUUUUUUGAUACCCUAAUUUUUGUGGAGAUGUUUUAGCGGCAGUAGUGUAUAUAACUUUUUAACAUUACCGAUAGCCAAUUUGAAGCUAGUAAGGAUCGCUGGUUUUACCAUAUUCUUUAUCCUGUGCAUAUGAGCCGAUUGCAUUUUGGAUGGCAUAGUUGUUUGUGCCUCCUUUUAAAUUCGAGGUAUUGGCUCUACAAAUUUCUUACUCUGUCGCUGCCUGUUUGCAGUGACUGGUGCCUCAAGACAUUAUGCUUUCGUUGAAUGUGAAACUGAAAGAGAAAUGAGAUGUGCAUAUAAGGUACUUUUACUCUGUUCUAGGCAUGACAUUGUGCUUGAUACUGGGUAGAAGCCUAAUGUUAAUUCUUCUGAAUUGGUCCUCAUGUCUUUGAGAUAGUCCGUGACAUGCUGCUGAUGAGGCUUUUAUUGUUGACUCAUUGUUGACGCUUUGCCAUGCACCUUCUUAAGAGCUUUUUGGGUGCCUUUCUCAUCAUAUCUAAUAGCUAGAUACAUUGCGUAAGUCAACCUUGAGAUCUAACUAUGAGUGCAUUUGGAUUCAGAACGAAGGAGAUUGGAAGACAUGCAAAAUUAAGAUAAAAAUCUGUAUAGAGAACUCAUUUGAGAGCUUCUUCAUGUGGUUGCUGCUUUUAGUCACCAUUUUAUUUAGGUUGAAGAUUAAUGUCAAUAGGAUGUGAACUUGAUGUAUGUUGGUUAUGAAGCACUGAUGCCAUGUUUUGUUGAAAAACUACUGCAAUGUUCUUAGUGAAAAAAGACUGGAAGAAAUGUGUAACCAAUAAAAAAUUAGGAAAAGCUACUAGAAAAUCACACAUUUUCACCAACCGAAAUUUGAAGGAGUAGUUGUGAUCCUUUUGGACACUUAAAAAAUCCUAGUAUUCUGCUGCAAAGAUGAAGCUGGGCCACAUUUGAUGAUACUAACUCUUUCUAUAUUGUCAUUAUAUGAUCAGUCGCCCAAUCCCAUUGGAUGACUUGAAGAGGCUGGGCAUUCCACCUCCUCCAGAGGGACGUGACAUGUCUCGCUUUGAGGUAUUGUCUCUGUUGUAUCUAAAUGCUGCAUAUAGCUCCAUCGAAAUGCAUUUAGCCCUCCUGAGUUAGUUAUGAAAUUUCAUUUACCAUUAACUUCUAUACCAGAGUGUCGUGAUAUUUCUUAGGUUAAGUCUGACUAUAAUUCAAAACUAAGACCUGGACCAGCUAAAUGAACGAUGGCGUCGAUGGAGGUACUAGCCCUCACUAAUUGAGCUCACUUCCUUAUUCAUUCCAUCAUCCAAUAUCCACUGCUCAAAUGUUUUAUAUUCUUGUUGUACAAGAAGGGAUUUUCCAUGAAAAGGGUGCUCGCCUUUUUACUCAUGAAAAUAUAAUUCCACUGUUGAGAAUUCCUUUUCACCUUAUUUCCAUAAGUAAGCUUGGCCUAAUCAGCCUCUUUAUAGAUCUGCCUAGAUCCUUGUUCCCCUCCCCUUCUAAGACACUCUUCUGGCAUUUGUGGAAACCAUCACCCUUGAGGACUUAAUUUGUGGGCAUGGAUGAGCAUGAAGGUUAAGUGGCAUUCCCGAGGUUGCUGUAGAUUUGGUGGGAGGUUACCCAGGGGGAAUUUUUCGGUUUUGAAGUUAAUCCACUUUUUCAUGGCUUUAUUUGGGAUAAAGGCAUGUGGAAACGUUAACUCUUAGCUUUACUUUCUUCUAUAUUAAGGUUUUACUGAAAUUCUUUACUUGAACGUACUAUUAGAAAUGGAACUAGUAAUACUUUUCCUUGGUAUAGUUUUCCAUGCUAUUGUUUGCCUUUUGCCCCUCAACGGGCAUAAUGUUUCCAAAUCCAUUAGGGGGAGGAAGCUAUAAUUAGCUUUCUGUACUUCAGUGCACCUUACUGGAUGAAUUUGGGUUUGUUAAGUCCUGUGGAGCGACUGGCCUUGGAGACUAAGUUUAUGCCCAUUUGGUGAUUGGGUUGCAUAACAUUUCGAACUCCAUUAGGGGAGGAGGCUAUAAUUAGCUUUCUGUAUUUCAUUGCACCUUGAUGGAUGUAUUUGGGUCUGUUAAGUUCCGCGGAGUGACUGGCCUUGGAGACAAAGUUUACGCACUUUUGGUGAAUGGGCUCGGCCUUCUUUUCCCCUUUUGACUUUCCUGUGAUAAUUCCAUGGCAAUUUGCACUGCCUCAUGUUGAGUUCAUUCUCCUUUAGGAAAUUUGCAAGAAGAGUAUCUGAGCAGUAGCCUUUUUGAGUUUUUCAUGAGUCGUGACAUUUAUUAUGAAGCUUGUAUAGCAGAAUGUCAUGAUCUUGUAUCUUUUUCAGGUUCCAUCACCCCCUAGAAGAGGACAGGGUUUGUUAGAUAAGGAAGAAGGAUCUCACAGAAGCUCUAGCAACAGAGAAGAGCAUACUCACAGAGGAAACUCCGAGGACAGGGAAGAUCGCGUGCAUGGGAGGAGCCCUGGUGAUACAUUAGAUCACUCUUACGACAAAAGUUCCCAAGGAAGAACAUCGCCAUGACAAGAGGCGCCAUCAGGAUCAGGAGCUUUCCAAUAGGAAGAGCUCGCUGGAAUUAGAAGAGAAGCACCAUUACAGAAGAUCUGUGGAGAAGGAAGAAACUGUAAGAAGCUCUUUGGAUGGGGAAGAGCGCUCUCGCAAACGGAGCUCCACUGAUGAUGAUGGACGUAUCAAGAAAAGGAGCAGAAGAAGUUCAUCGGAGAGAGAGGAUCAUAAAGAGAGAGACUCUUCCGAUAGAGAGGAGCGCCAUCACAAAAGCAGGUCUCGAGAUGAGAAAGAACGCUCUUAUAAGCGUCACAAACAUCGUGAGAGAUCCCAUCAGCAUGAGGGGAAAAGAUCAAUCAGUCAAGGAAUAUCCAUCUGAUUAUUGAUUUUUGGGCAGUUUGUCUUUGGUUUGAAUCCGGAGAAACAUGCACGUAGGGAUUGCUUUUUGCUUGCCUUCUACAGAGUGUAAUAAGGAGAAUGAUGUGGAUAGAGAUUUUAAGUAAUUUUACCUCACAUGCUGAGGCGUCCUUGACAUUACUACAACGAAGCCACAGAGAGUGACCAGCGGGACUUUUGCAGAGGACGGUUUGCCGGUCUUGAGGAACUAGAGGUGUUAGAAACUCGGUUAUUGAUUGCACGAGUGAUGGUCGUCUUGUUUCUGUGAUUGAGUUUAACCAGAGGUGUGAAUACGGAAGGCAUACUGAGGGAGAAGUCGUCUUGUUUCUGUGACUGAGUUUAACCAGAGCCGUGAAUACGAAAGGCAAACUGAGGGAGACUUCGCCAUCCGGAACACCUAAUUCCUUCCGGAGGUACUCCAUCUGAGUAACAACUUUUAGAUGUGCCAACAAUUGUCAUUGAAAGCAACUCUUCAAUUGGAUACAUGACGGGUUGUGCACAGAUUGGCAAGGGAAAUCGAAUUGUUAUCGCAUAAGCGCAGGCUAACGCACCUUUUCAUCUUUUAGGCACUCUAGUGCUAGUCUUUUGUUAUUCGUAACAUAAUUUCCUUAUCAGGAAGCUGCUUCACUCCCACGCAGAAGACAAUACUAAGCUCUGUAUCCUUUCGGUCUGUUUAAGGCCCAAUUCUCUAAAUUUCUCUGCUGAAAAAAUCAUCUCACAGUUCAUCUACUCUUCUCGAGGGAGGACGGGGUCCCCCUAAUCACUUUUGAGUAUUAGGUAUCAUACUGUUCCCGAUUAACUUCGCAUAUUAGCGUGACCAGGUCUUCGGAAAUGAGUUCAUCCAUCUUAGACAAAUGACGAGAAGGUGAUUUAUCCAAAAGUGAACCGACACCUCCAUUUCAUCCUGUUGUGUCCUCUGAGUCCCUAAAAAUGAAUGAACAUAAUGACAAAGGAAUGGAAUGGACCCGAUUGGGAUGAUGUCACGUUGAUUUACGUUGAGUUCGGCAUGAUGGAAAGGAAUGGAAUGGAAAAGGUUUCAAUUUCUUUGUUUGGUGAUUAUAGACAAAUAGUUCGAAAUGGAGAGAGGAAGGGUGAUUCAUUUAUGUUCAAUUUAUCUCUUUCAAUUUGGAUGCUAUGAGGUAGGCCUUAGGAAGUUCUUGUAGAGGAAGGAGGGAUUCUUAAUUGUUACAAGGAUGGAACGGAAUGUGAUUUCUGCAAAUUAAAUUCUCAAUUCAUUAAUAGACCCGUGUUCAAUUCAAUAAAGGAAAAAUUCCAAAUAAGGGUAUGAAAUGUAUUCAAUUUUCAAGAAAGGGUCUAGAAAUGGAUAUUGUUCCAAGUAAAGGUUUAAAGUAUUCUUAUUUUUUUAAAGAAAGAUUUGAAGUUGAAUUUAUUUCAAAUAAGGACAACUUUUCAGUGAGUUAAAGGUAUUUUUGUCCUUUUAUCUUAUUUGACCCUUUUUUUUUUCGUGGUUUUCUCUUUGUCUUGGCCAUCGACGAUGCCUAAAGAGGGUUGGGCAAGCUCGCCUCACCUCAUCCUGGCUAAGGCCACCCUCACUAAUAGUCGGUGAGGGAUGGCCUUGCCUCGAUGAGGCCACCCUCGAAAGCUACAAGCGAGGCUAGUCCUCGCUAGAUUUGGGAGUGGGUCGCCUCGCUAGCCUUAGGCGAAUCCGGCCCUCACCAAAUCUAGGCGAGAAAAUGAAGGUACUUUUGAUUUAUGUUUGGAAUUUUUCCUUAAAUAAAUACCAAGUAUAUUUGAAUUAAUAACUAUCAAGUAUUUAGUUGAAAACAAUAAAUAUCAUUUAACCUUUUGAUAUUAUAAAUAAUUUAAUUGUUGAGGACAUUUAACAAGCAAGUAUUUUAUCAUAUUUGUUUAGUUCACUAUAAUUGUAAAUAAGCCGUAAAGUUAUAAGUGGUCGAACCUACUAUAAUAUCUAUGAUCUCUCAAUUUCUUAGAUCACAUGUUUGUUGUUAUUAUUAGGUUAACUCAUUUUCUAACAGAUUAAUAAACAUAAUUUAUGGUAGCAAUUGUUUGUCGAGUUAUACAAAUUAGUUGUCCUUUUUUUUUCUUGCUUAAAAUUUAUUUUGAGGGGGUUUGGGGAUAUAAAAUUGAAAACUUUAUGUAUUAAACUGAGAAGAGAUGUGAGAUUUAUUAUGCGCAAAACUUCUGUUCAUGCAAUGACCUUCCUAGACUUGUUCCUCCACUACUGGAUGUUGGGAGGCAUAAAAAUCGGAGCAGGGGAAGAGUAGUAAGAGGUUCAAACCCAAAGAUAAAAUGGAGGAGACUUCAUAUUUGUGAAACAAACCAACAUGAAGUCGCCAGAUAUCCUGACAUCCAAGUCCAUUGCCCAGGUUUUGAUGCACAAGAACCGGCCUCUCAACAUGUGGGAGUCUCGGUAACUCUCGGUCGGAAUUUCAAAGUCUUCUGUUGAAAAUCCAAAGAUGGAAGACUUCCAAGUCUCAAUAACUUUGAGUUGGAAUUUCAAAGUCUUCCUUCAAAAAUCCAAAGAUGGAAGACUUCCGAGUCUCAUUAACUCUCGAUUGGAAUUUCAAAGUCUUCCUUCAAAAAUCCAAAGAUAAAAGACUUCCGAGUCUCAGUAACUCUCAGUUGGAAUUUCAAAGUUUUCCUUCAAAACUCCAAAGAUGGAAGACUUCCGAGUCUUAGUAACUCUCGGUUGGAAUUUCAAAGUCUUCCUUCAAAAAUCCAAAGAUGGAAGACUUCCAAGUCUCCUUUUUUUAGUAGACUUUUACAGUUUUUUCUUGCCCUUCAUUUACUCAAUAUAGAACAUUGAAAGAUAAAGGUAUAGAUAGUUUUUUCUUGAAUGACUCAAUGUGGAACAUUCAAAGGUAUAGAUAGUUCAUGAUCUUGCUAGUUUUUUCCAAUUAGAAUCUUCUUUGAGAGUUUUUUCUUUAACCUCUUGCAUUUUUAUUAUUUAUAUCUUCGUCUUCAGCAACUUUGAGACCUCGCAAGAACUUGAUAUGAUUUCCCUUCGUGGUAUUUGCUAUAUUUCGUAACAUUGACAUAACAUAAUUGAACAAUUGGCUGCCAUUUAACCUUGCUCUCAAGCCUCAAGUCUUGCUUAGCUCUCUUCACAUAUUGCUAGAAUUUAUCAUUCAAUCAAAAGUUACGCUUACCCUUUGCCAAUUCAUGAUCUUUGCUAGAAAGUUUUAUCCUUUUCUACAGAAGUUUCGAGUCUAUUAAAAGUUAUGACUGGAAUAAAAUGACUCUAAACUAGUAUGAAAAUCACAUGAUUGAUUACUCAAAUGAGAACAAUUUUAGAUUAUUAUUCGUAGCAUGAAUGCAAUUUUGGACAAUCGUGCGCUUAUGAGUUGAGGCUUACCAAGUCAGGUACCUCUAUGGCUGAUUUCAACCCACCACAUUGCACGCUCUCUUCAUGUGGAUGAUACAAUGCACACAAAAAGAGACUAGAUAAGAUUCCAAAGGCCAUGCAGAGUUUGAACAUAAUAAGUUCCCUUCCUUGAUUAGACUUCUUGAGUUUUUUCUUACUCUUCGUUUGCUAGUGUACAAAAUCCAAAGAUGGAAGACUUUUAGGCCUCCUUCCUUGGAUUAGACUUCUCAAGUUUUUCUCUCCCUCCGUUUACUUAGUGUAGAUCAUGCAACUGAUUAAUUUGUUUUAUGUACAGGUCGGGGAUUAUAAAUACCCACCCAUCCACCCACACACUUACACAUCCACACACAGAUAGCAAAAAUGCACUUCCCUUCAUCAACAUCAUCAUCUUCUCUUAUCACCACCAUUUUCUGCUUGCUCUUGGUUAUAGCCUCCCUGUUCCUUCCAGGAGCGUAUGGCGGUAAGUGAUAUUUAUAUUUUUGGUGCUCCAAGCUUCUAAUAAUGGAGGAACACGUAAAUUGAUGAUCACGAUUCCAUGAAACUGUAGCUGACACAGCAUGACACGAGAACAUAGAGGAAAUUUUAUAAAUCUUGCUGUUUUACUUAUGAUCGCUUGGACAAUUUUGUUUCAUUGAAUAUUGAACUAAAGUUCGGGAUGAAGUUGAAUAAUUCAUGGAUGAAGUUGUGCAUUGCAUUAUAAAGUUCAGAGAUCAUUUACAUCAUUUCUCCUUUAUUAGUUAUUGAUCACGAUUUUUUGCUUGCUCUUGAUUAUAAUCUCCUUUUUCCUUCCGGGAGGUGAGUGAAUUUUACUUUUUGGUGCUUUGGGCUUUCGACAAUGGAGGGGGACAUGGAUUUCCCAAGGCAUGACACGAGAACAUGCAGCAAGUUGUAUGCAUCGUGGUGUUUUUAUUUAAGUUGCUAGGAUAUUUUGCUGCAUGGAUCAUUUAAUAAUUCUGGGCAGAUAUUUUGCUGCAUGAAUCAUUUAAUAAUUUUGGGCAGUGUUUGAUCUUUCAUAAUGAUUUCCAUUGAGUUUCUUCUUGCCUACAGAUUUGGAUCUUCUAGAUUAUGGGGAAAAUUGUCCAACAAGUCCUAAACCUAUUGUUACUCUGCUAAUUGAGUCUUAAAUUUUUUCAUUUUUUGUUAAUUGAAUCCAGUCAAUUUUGGCUGGAAUUUGCCGACAUAGACGUUAAUCGUCUUACGUGGCAUGACCGACACUGACGUUGAUAAUAUUUUAAUGUUUUCAGAUUUUUUAAUUAAUUUUUUUCCUCUUUAUCUUCUUCUUUUCUUUUUCUUUUUUUCGAUAUUGUGGCUGGCAAUGGCCUACUGGGUGAGGAUUGCGACCAGCCUCGUCCAGGUCUGGGUGCAUGGCUUUUCAAGUUUCCUCUUUGCAACAUGAGCUAUCCUCUACUUAAUGGGAGUGUAGUGACGUGCGGAGGAGAGAUCGUUUCAAUCGCCGCUUUUUAACACCCUCGCUUUGGUCGAUGUGGUGAGCCUCCCGUCCUCACGCGAACCGUUUCACCACCUCUUUCUCUUCUUCGUUUGUUUUCUUCGGUUCGAUCGAAAUUUGUUUUAGAAAAGGAUGAGCAUGAUCAUGGGCAGAUAUUGAUUCCCACAAGUCAUUGCUUUCCUUUUAGAAAAUGUUGCCCAUCUCCCACGAGUUUCAACCCUUGUUUCCCUUCCCCCUUUUUUUCAUUGAAACUUCCCUCGUAGAAGACUCCGAAAAUCUCUUUCAUUCUGCCAACCUCACUAAUCGCGGUUUCCCCCUCGACCCCUCCAUUUAAUUGAUUUCUUCAGCCGCGUUUAACCACUCGAUUCUUUCCUAGUUGUUCCUUGGCCGAGAAUCUCCAGAAUAUGCGUUCCUCAUUCACUUCCCAAUUUUACAAAAAUUAGCGCCUCAAAUCUCACCUUCCUAUGCUCGAAAAUCACACUUUCCUUGAUGGGAAUUGGUUGAACUUUCUUGCCUUAUUUCGUUUAUCUACCAAAUUCGGAAUGGCGAGCUGAGGAGCGAAGAGGAAGCCCAAGCCGAAACGCCACGUGCCCACAUCUGGCGACGCUGGCCGUCACCCUCACCCAAAAGGUUAUCGCGAAAAGAGAGACAAAAGAAAAAAAAAAAAAUUAGAAAAAUAUUAAAAUAUUGAAAAAUUUAUCCAUGGUCAACCCUGAUUGAGCUCUGAUCGUGUUAUCCACGUAGGACGGCUGUUAUUCACGCCAGCGAAGGGAAGCGCGGUGAAGGGAAGCUAUUCUCGUGGUGCUGGAGGUUCGAGUGAGUCCUCUUAUUACUCCAUAUCUCGAACCUUUCCAUCACAUUGGCUGCCUCUAGAAGGGUUUAUACAUCCGUGAAUCAUUCAUCAUACAUCUUAUUACACUCGCUUGAAAGCACUUCAAUCUCAAUUUAUCAUAUAUUCUCUAGUCAUAUAAUCAUGUAACAUGUCCAAUUUCACUUGUGCGCCAAACGAUUAAUGAUACUCUAUGUAAUUUCAUCUCCACAAAUGUAGUAUGUGCAUUUCUUAUUUAUAGCAAGAAUUAGUAACAAAACCUCAAUGCUCUGUACGGACACUUAUUUGCAUAGCAUUGUCACAACUUGGUCAAUAAGGUUUUUUACAGUAAAAUAUGUGGGGGGGGGGGGGGAUCAUGGGAAUUUCGUCAUUAUGUCAAUAAUUUCUCUGUGCUAUUCAAAUUAAUUAAAAAAAAACCAAUGUAUAUCCCAUGAAUAAUAUUUGUCUGGAGUAUAUUACUAACAGAGUCUCAAACUAAGGAGGGGGCGUGGUAAUGAGCUAUAAAAAAAAAAAUAUAGUCUCGCAUUUUCCAUAGAAAAAGUAAAAGUAAAAGUAAAAAAAGGAUAGUCUCCCAUCAUCUACUUUCUGAGAAUUAAUUUCGUUUCUUCUAGUGAGACUCAUUCCUUCAUUUCCCUCUAUAUUAAACAUGGCUGCAGAACACCGGGGACAUCCUUGAAAAAAAAACAUGUCGGUUGUUCCGAAUGCCAUCAAGCCAAGAACUUCGGGUUUCUCAUGAUCGUGAUAUAUAUGUAAUAUGUCAUAAUACUCUUGGUAUGUUCUAGAUGUAGUAGAAUUACUUCAGUUCCCUGUAUUCCGCAAAUCAUCUUCCAUACAUUCUCAUGUGUAGACUCGUCUUGACAAUAGUAAAAUAUAAAGAGAUGAGUUUCACAGUUUAAUCUUGGACAACAAAGACAUCUCAUCACUAUCUUGCACAUCAGGAAGUGGGGCAAUUUCAUUGGUCCACUCAAGGAGCCUCUUAUCUCGAUAGCUAUUCGGUGGCAUAAUUGUUCAAAAAGUCUUAAAUAUAUUGUACGAUGGUCAAUUCUCUUAUAAAAUUUUUUAUAUUUUAUUUUUUCAAUUGAUUCUAAAUUUUAUGACAAUUUGCUAAUAUAGACUUUCAUCAAUUUUGCCAGUAAAAUGCUAACAUGGUGGUCAAGUCAAUGUCGCUAUUUUGCGUAGUAUGAUCGACGAUGACGUGGAUGCAUUUUGAAAAAAAAAUUAUAUUUUCUCCUUUUUCUUUUCUUUUAAUUUUUUUCCUUCAUUGUAUUAUUGGUAGGAAAUUUUAUUUUUUUUCCAAAAUUUGUCCACGCUAGUGGCGGUCAUGCCACAUUAGAUGGUGACGCGCCAUUUCAAUGAUUUUAGGUCAAAAUUGACCAAAAGGGCUACUUUGGUCUUGGAUUAAAUUGGCAAAAUUAAAAAAAAAAAUCAAGAUUGUACUAACUACCAUAUGAUAGGUUUACGACUUGUUGGGCAAUUUUCCAUUAUUCAGUCGUGACAAGCGGGCUGCCUAGUGUAAUAAGAAUGGCUUGACUUUCUAAGAGAAAUGUAUACUCAAAAUUAGCAGCACCCACCCCCAAAAAAAAAAAAAAAAAGAAAAAGAAAAAAAGAAAGGAGUGCAUGAACAAGACUGUGAAGCUAUAACAAUGAUAAUAGGUGCAACUGUGAUAAGGAUUACAUUGCAGUCGUUGGGGGGCAAACCAUGAAUUUUAGCUUGAAAAAGACCUAUAGACAAGUCGUACUUGCCCCAUGGUCCAUGAAUGACGGCUACUCCAGAAAUUAAGCACUACCCGAGUCCAUUCUAAGAAUACUUUACUCAACUUUUUGUUUGCUGAGCUUCGGUAAACACAUACUAUAUUUUAUUCUUCAUAAGCAAAUGCACAUGAUAUAUAUGAGGUGAUAGAGAUUUCUAUGAGAAAUUGUACAAAAACAUAUAAAGGCAUUAUUCUAGAUGUUAUAUCAUUUGGAUGUACAAUGCAAAGAAGAUCCAUGUCGAGCAAUACGGGUGCUGACAAAGAAAGGAUUUUUCACUCUGGACUUUUCCACCUAUCAGCUCGCCCUAUUGCCCUCAUCAUUAGUAUGUAUUUCUAUUGAGUCACAGGGAGGGAUGACCAAAAUCUGUGCUAUCCGCUUGGCUUACCAACUAGAGAAGGUUAUUGGCAUUUUAUGGCAAUGCAAAAUCCGAAAUACACAUUUAUUCCCUUAUUCGGUCUCACAACCCCAGCCCUGGCGGGCCCUUAAUAAUAAAAAAAAGGAAAAUAUAAGAUGAUAAGCAUUAGGCUAUCAAUUUCCAACUACAAUUAACAAAAUAGGUUAACAGAUAAAUUGUCAAAAAGUUUACGACUAUAUUGACUAAAUUGAGAAGUUUAGAAUAAAACGAGUAAGUUCAUAACUUUCCUAAGCAAAAGGAAGGAGCGAUCAAGAAUCAAAGUUAGAAAUAUAUUUUGGUUGAGAACCGCAAAGGAUUCGGCACGACGAGCGAGAAUGAAAUCACCGCAUUGUCUCCCUCCCUCUCUCCCUCUCUAGACUUUGAGCAAGUUGUUCGUUUCUAGCUGCACAGUUCAGAAGAUGCUCGGUGGCUUCUGCUGCCGAAUUUCAAACUCUGUCAUCGUCUACAUCGUGCCUGAGAAAUGCGGGGGUCGGUUUGGUCAGGCCGAUUUCGAUUUUCAAGUUCUUGAUGGCUCCUGAAUUUUGUCAACAUUUUGGACACUUUCCAUUAGCGGCUUUUCGUCACCCGCACCCAAAGGCUAGAGAGAGAAAAAAGAGAAUAUAUUUUGGAGAGAGAGUGAAUCAUAAAAUCCUUUAAUUGUUUAGAUGCGUUUGCUUCAUGAAAUAUCGUCAAUUUGAAAUACUUCUAAAUAUACUCACUUCUAUUACUUGUAACAAUGAAUUAAUGAGAGAAACAUUUUAUCAUCAAUAACAAGUUUAGGCAAAGAUUAUUAUUGAUGAGAAAAUAUAUUCCAUUAACUAGUUUUUCUAAUCAAUACAAAUAACUAUAUUUAGAAAAAUGUUUGUGAAUCAUUGAUUUUUCAUGGAAAAAAAUCAAUAAUAACUUUCGGAACUCAACCUCUUUCAUUUUUAUUACUAAUAUCACCGUUAGCUUCGUUAUCUCAUUUUGGCCAUCAAAGACCUUUACUCUUAUAACUAAAAUUAAAGGAUUUUAGUCACUAAUGAGGACAAUUAGAGAAUAUUGCUAGAUUAAUAAGGCAUUAUGUAGUUUAGCAUCCAUAAAAAUUUAUCUAAUAGCCAUCUUCACGAUCGAUUCAAUAAGUUACUCUAGUUUCUAUUUUUCAAAGUAUUAAAAAGCACAAGUAAAAUUCACCAUGUAAUUGCAUAAUCCCAUUUUAAUAUCACGUAAUAAUCAAUUAUGAUUAUAAAAUAUUUUAGUAUAAUAAAUGGAAUGUUGUACAGUAGAUAGUAUUGCUAUAUCAUAAUUAAUGCUAAUAAAAUAUUAUGAAAAAUUUAGCAUUAUUAUAUUCUAAUAAAUUUUUUAUGAAUAAUUAAAAAUAACAAGACGUUGUAUUAUCGACAUUUAGUAACCUAAUAAUUGAUAUUGUCUUCCUAAUGAAUCCCCGUUCCUCUAAAAGUAGGAACCAUCCCCAUAUUUAGCAAAUAAACUUAAUAAAGUCAAACGAUGAGACGUUAAAAAAGUUCAGAACCCGGUUAAUUAAUUUCCUUAUGGAAAAAGAAAAAUACCUUUUCGAUUACUAAGUAAACUUUCAUAAAAAAAAAAAAAAAAAAAGAGCAUCCUCCCAUCUUCCUCUGUUUUUGCUGCGCUUUCGUCUUCCUCGGAGACUCUGUUCCUAGAGAGAGAAAGUAGAGAGAGAGGGAGAUGAGCAGGAACAGCAGCAGCAGGCUGAACUCGGUGUUCUACGCGGAGUCGUACCACCCGAUCCAGGCGGGCAGCAUCGACGGCACCGACGUCCUCCCCCACGACAACGCCGUCUCCCGCGCCCACCUCUGCUCCUCCGCCGGCCUCUGUAAAAUCCCCCCUCCCUCCUCCCUCUUCUCUUUCCCUUUUUCUUUGCUUUACUUCCUGGGUUUCUGACUCCGUUCUCGAUUCCCCCCCAGAUGACCCGUUUGGCGAUCCCAAGGCCGUGGGCGACCCGUACUGCACCCUCUUCGUCGGGCGCCUCUCCCACUUCACCUCCGAGGACACUCUCCGCGAGGUCUGGCCUUUGUCUUGAUUUUUGAGGUUUUCUUUCAUUCCCAUUUCUCUCUUCUCUCUCUUUUUGAGGAAGAGUAGUCUUUUCUUUUCUUUUCUUUUCUUUUUGGGGUGUGGGUGUUUCAGCUGUUGAGCUCGUUUGAGGUGACAAUGGCUGCCUGCCUGCCUGCCUGCCUGCCUGCUUGCCUGCUUGGGAGAUAAAAUGAUUCGACUUGGCGUCGUUCUCGUGAUUUAUGAGGGGAGUGUUGGGAGAUGGAACUUUGUUUUGUUUUUGAGGAUGGGAAUGGAAAUGCUUGCCGAAAUAUGGCAGUUUUGGUGUUUAAAAAACGUAUUUUUGGCGGUUCCGACUGUUAGAUGGAGCAUUUUGCCUUCAGUUACCGCUUUUUCUAUCUGUCUUUCAAUUGAUUUAGGCUUUUUUGACCUACAGUAUGAGUUCCCUUGUGCAGGCUAUGAGCAAGUAUGGUCAUGUGAAAAACUUGCGCUUGGUCAGGCACAUUGGUAACCAUCUUAUUAGCUCUUGUAAUUUCUAUGAUUUUCAGUUCGUCGAGAGAUCAUGAUAAGCGCUUCGGGUUGAUAGUAAUUCAAACUUCACUUAAUAUGAAACAAAUCUUGGUAGCUUGCACUUUAUUCACUGUUUUGACAGAGCAGCAAUGCUCGAUCUCUAACUUAUUAUAUGCUUAGUUUUUUGAUACCCUAAUUUUUGUGGAGAUGUUUUAGCGGCAGUAGUGUAUAUAACUUUUUAACAUUACCGAUAGCCAAUUUGAAGCUAGUAAGGAUCGCUGGUUUUAUCAUAUUCUUUAUCCUGUGCAUAUGAGCCGAUUGCAUUUUGGAUGGCAUAGUUGUUUGUGCCUCCUCUUAAAUUCAAGGUAUUGGCUCUACAAAUUUCUUACUCUGUCGCUGCCUGUUUGCAGUGACUGGUGCCUCAAGACGUUAUGCUUUCGUUGAAUAUGAAACUGAAAGAGAAAUGAGACGUGCGUAUAAGGUCUUUUACUCUGUUCUAGGCAUGACAUUGUGCCUGAUACUGGGUAGAAGCCUAAUGUUAAUUCUUCUGAAUUGGUCCUCAUGUCUUUGAGAUAGUCCAUGACAUGCUGCUGAUGAGGCUUUUAUUGUUGACUCAUUGUUGACGCUUUGCCAUGCACCUUCUUAGGAGCUUUUGGGUGCCUUUCUCAUCAUAUCUAAUAGCUAGAUACAUUUUGUAAGUCAACCUAGAGAUCUAACUAUGAGUGCAUUUGGAUUCAGAACGAAGGAGAUUGGAAGACAUGCAAAAUUAAGAUAAAAAUCUGUAUAGAGAACUCAUUUGAGAGCUUCUUCAUGUGGUUGCUGCUUUUAGUCACCAUUUUAUUUAGGUUGAAGAUUAAUGUCAAUAGGAUGUGAACUUGAUGUAUGUUGGUUAUGAAGCACUGAUGCCAUGUUUUGUUGAAAAACUACUGCAAUGUUCUUAGUGAAAAAAGACUGGAAGAAAUGUGUAACCAAUAAAAAAUUAAGAAAAGCUACUAGAAAAUCACACAUUUUCACCAACCGAAAUUUGAAGGAGUAGUUGUGAUCCUUUUGGACACUUCAAAAAUCCUAGUAUUCUGCUGCAAAGAUGAAGCUGGGCCACAUUUGAUGAUGCUAACUCUUUCUAUAUUGUCAUUAUAUGAUCAGUCGCCCAAUCCCAUUGGAUGACUUGAAGAGGCUGGGCAUUCCACCUCCUCCAGAGGGACGUUACAUGUCUUGCUUUGAGGUAUUGUCUCUGUUGUAUCUAAAUGCUGCAUAUAGCUCCAUCGAAAUGCAUGUUUUAGCCCUCCUGAGUUAGUUAUGAAAUUUCAUUUACCAUUAACUUCUAUACCAGAGUGUCGUGAUAUUUCUUAGGUUAAGUCUGACUAUAAUUCAAAACUAAGACCUGGACCAGCUAAAUGAACGAUGGCGUCGAUGGAGGUACUAGCCCUCACUAAUUGAGCUCACUUCCUUAUUCAUUCCAUCAUCCAAUAUCCACUGCUCAAAUGUUUGAUAUUCUUGUUGUACAAGAAGGGAUUUUCCAUGAAAAGGGUGCUCGCCUUUUUACUCAUGAAAAUAUAAUUCCACUGUUGAGAAUUCCUUUUCACCUUAUUUCCAUAAGUAAGCUUGGCCUAAUCAGCCUUUUUAUAGAUCUGCCUAGAUCCUUGUUCCCCUCCCCUUCUAAGACACUCUUCUGGCAUUUGUGGAAACCAUCACCCUUGAGGACUUAAUUUGUGGGCAUGGAUGAGCAGGAAGGUUAAGUGGCAUUCCCGAGGUUGGUGUAGAUUUGGUGGGAGGUUACCCAGCGGGAAUUUUUCAGUUUUGAAGUUAAUCCACUUUUUCGUGGCUUUAUUUGGGAUAAAGGCAUGUGGAAACCUUUAACUCUUAGCUUUACUUUCUUCUAAACUAAGGUUUUACUGAAAUUCUUUACUUGAACGUACUAUAAGAAAUGGAACUAGUAAUACUUUUCCUUGGUAUAGGUUUCCAGGCUAUUGUUUGCCUUUUGCCCCUCAACAGGCAUAAUGUUUCCAACUCCAUUAGUGGGAGGAAGCUGUAAUUAGCUUUCUGUACUUCAUUGCACCUUACUGGAUGAAUUUGGGUUUGUUAAGUCCUGUGGAGCGACUGGCCUUGGAGACUAAGUUUAUGCCCGUUUGGUGAUUGGGUUGCAUAAGAUUUCGAACUCCAUUAGGGGAGGAGGCUAUAAUUAGCUUUAUGUAUUUCAUUGCACCUUGAUGGAUGUAUUUGGGUCUGUUAAGUUCCGCGGAGUGACUGGCCUUGGAGACAAAGUUUACGCACUUUUGGUGAAUGGGCUUGACCUUCUUUUCCCCUUUUGACUUUCCUGUGAUAAUUCCAUGGCAAUUUGCAGUGCCUCAUGUUGAGUUCAUUCUCCUUUAGGAAAUUUGCAAGAAGAGUAUCUGAGCAGUAGCCUUUUUGAGUUUUUCAUGAGUCGUGACAUUUAUUAUGAAGCUUGUAUAGCAGAAUGUCAUGAUCUUGUAUCUUUUUCAGGUUCCAUCACCCCCUAGAAGAGGACAGGGUUUGUUAGAUAAGGAAGAAGGAUCUCACAGAAGCUCUAGCAACAGAGAAGAGCAUACUCACAGAGGAAACUCCGAGGACAGGGAAGAUCGCGUGCAUGGGAGGAGCCCUGGUGAUACAUUAGAUCACUCUUACGACAAAAGUUCCCAAGGAAGAACAUCGCCAUGACAAGAGGCGCCAUCAGGAUCAGGAGCUUUCCAAUAGGAAGAGCUCGCUGGAAUUAGAAGAGAAGCACCAUUACAGAAGAUCUGUGGAGAAGGAAGAAACUGUAAGAAGCUCUUUGGAUGGGGAAGAGCGCUCUCGCAAACGGAGCUCCACCGAUGAUGAUGGACGUAUCAAGAAAAGGAGCAGAAGAAGUUCAUCGGAGAGAGAGGAUCAUAAAGAGAGAGACUCUUCUGAUAGAGAGGAGCGCCAUCACAAAAGCAGGUCUCGAGAUGAGAAAGAACGCUCUUAUAAGCGUCACAAACAUCGUGAGAGAUCCCAUCAGCAUGAGGGGAAAAGAUCAAUCAGUCGAGAAUAUCCAUCUGAUUAUUGAUUUUUGGGCAGUUUGCCUUUGGUUUGAAUCCAGAGAAACAUGCACGUAGGGAUUGCUUUUUGCUUGCCUUCUACAGAGUGUAAUAAGGAGAAUUAUGUGCAUAGAGAUUUUAAGUAAUUUUACCUGACAUGCUGAGGCGUCCUCGACAUUACUACAACGAAGCCACAGAGAGUGACCAGCGGGACUUUUGCAGAGGAUGGUUUGCCGGUAUUGAGGAACUAGAGUUGUCAGACCCUCGGUUAUUGAUUGCAAGCAAGAUAGUCGUCCUGUUUCUGUGAUUGAGUUUAACCAGAGGUGUGAAUACGGAAGGCAUACUGAGGGAGAAGUCGUCUUGUUUCUGUGACUGAGUUUAACCAGAGCCGUGAAUACGAAAGGCAAACUGAGGGAGACUUCGCCAUCCGGAACACCUAAUUCCUUCCGGAGGUAGUCCAUCUGCGUCACAACUUUUAGAUGUGCCAACAAUUGUCAUUGAAAGUAACUCUUCAAUUGGAUAUAUGACGGAUUUGUUCAUGCACUGAACUUCUGUUCAUGCUCAGAUAUAUGACGGGUUGGGAGGCAUUAAAAUCGGAGCAGGGGAAAAGUAGUAAGAGGUUCAAACCCAAAGAUAAAAUGGAGGAGACUUCAUAUCUGUGAAACAAACCAACAUGAAGUCACCAGAUAUCCUGACAUCCAACUCAAUUGCCCAGGCUUUGAUGCACAAGAAUCGGCCUCUCAACAUGUGGGAGUCUUGGUAACUCUGGUUGGAAUUUCAAAGUCUUCCUUCGAAAAUCCGAAGAUGGAAUACUUCCAAGUCUCAGUAACCCUCGGUUGGAAUAUCAAAGUCUUCCUUCAAAAAUCCAAAGAUGAAAGACUUCCAAGUCUCGGUAACCCUCGGUUGGAAUAUCAAAGUCUUCCUUCAAAAAUCCAAAGAUGAAAGACUUCGAAGUCUCCUUCCUUGAGUAGACUUCUACAGUUUUUUUCUUGUCCUUCCUUGACUCAAUGUAGAACAUCCAAAGAUAAAGACUUUCUUGUAAUGAUUGCUAGGUCCUCUGUAGAUAGCUUAGAACUCACACUGAGAAACACUUCGAUUACGAUAGUGAUGUAAAUCUUGUAAACUCUACACCUUGACAUAUCUAAGAUUAUAUGUGCUCCACAUAGAUUCUUUAAAUCGAUUAAGAUUUUUUCAAUGAUCAUAUCAACGUUCUUUUUCAGCGGGAGUUUAACUUGAAAUAUAAUAACUUUUGC